GCGUAAUAGCUCACUGGUCGAGUCGGCCUGCGCGGAAGAUGUAACGGGGCUAAACCAUGCACCGAAGCUGCGGCAGCGACACUAUGUGUUGUUGGGUAGGGGAGCGUUCUGUAAGCCUGCGAAGGUGACCUGUGAGGGUUGCUGGAGGUAUCAGAAGUGCGAAUGCUGACAUAAGUAACGAUAAAGCGGGUGAAAAGCCCGCUCGCCGGAAGACCAAGGGUUCCUGUCCAACGUUAAUCGGGGCAGGGUGAGUCGACCCCUAAGGCGAGGCCGAAAGGCGUAGUCGAUGGGAAACAGGUUAAUAUUCCUGUACUUGGUGUUACUGCGAAGGGGGGACGGAGAAGGCUAUGUUAGCCGGGCGACGGUUGUCCCGGUUUAAGCAUGUAGGCUGGUUGUCCAGGCAAAUCCGGAUAAUCAAGGCUGAGGUGUGAUGACGAGGCACUACGGUGCUGAAGUAACAAAUGCCCUGCUUCCAGGAAAAGCCUCUAAGCAUCAGGUAACAUCAAAUCGUACCCCAAA
rnacentral:rRNA from 1 species